UCAAUAAGCGGAGGAAAAGAAACUAACAAGGAUUCCCCUAGUAACUGCGAGUGAAGAGGGAAGAGCUCAAAUUUAAAAUCUGGCAGUGCUUUGCUGUCCGAGUUGUAAUCUAGAGAAGUGCUGCCCGUGCUGGACCGUGUACAAGUCUCCUGGAAUGGAGCGUCACAGAGGGUGAGAAUCCCGUCUUUGACAUGGACUGCCAGUGCAUUUGUGGUGUGCUCUCAAAGAGUCGAGUUGUUUGGGAAUGCAGCUCUAAAUGGGUGGUAAACUCCAUCUAAAGCUAAAUAUUGGCGAGAGACCGAUAGCGAACAAGUACCGUGAGGGAAAGAUGAAAAGAACUUUGGAAAGAGAGUUAAACAGUAUGUGAAAUUGUUGAAAGGGAAACGCUUAAAGUCAGUCGUGUCGGCCAGGGAUCAACUCAGUUUUUUCUGCUGGGUGUAUUUCCUGAUCUGAUGGGCCAACAUCAGUUUUGACUGCUGGAGAAGGAUAGAGGGAAUGUGGCACCUCCGGGUGUGUUAUAGCUCUCUGUCGGAUGCAGUGGUUGGGACUGAGGAAAGCAGCACGCCGCAAGGCCGGGUCGUUUCGACCAUGUUCGUGCUGAGGAUGUUGGCAUAAUGGCUUUAAUCGACCCGUCUUGAAACAC
rnacentral:rRNA from 1 species